rnacentral:rRNA from 1 species
AACGAACGCUGGCGGCAUGCCUAACACACGCAAGUCGAACGAAGUCUUCGGACUUAGUGGCGCACGGGUGCGUAACGCGUGGGAAUCUGCCCUUGGGUGCGGAAUAACUUCUCGAAAGGGAUGCUAAUACCGCAUAAUGUCGUAAGACCAAAGAUUUAUCGCCCAAGGAUGAGCCCGCGUAAGAUUAGCUAGUUGGUGGGGUAAAAGCCUACCAAGGCGACGAUCUUUAGCUGGUCUGAGAGGAUGAUCAGCCACACUGGGACUGAGACACGGCCCAGACUCCACGGGAGCAGCAGUGGGGAAUAUUGGACAAUGGGCGAAAGACCUGAUCCAGCAAU